ensembl:rRNA 5S_rRNA 5S ribosomal RNA
GUCUAUGGCCAUACCACCCUGAACGAACCCAGUCUCACUUGAUCUCAGAAGCGAAGCAGGGUCGGGCCUGGUUAGUACUUGGAUGGGAAAAAUGUUCAUUCUGCUGCUUCUGGGUAGACCACUCUGUUAAGAUC